GUGAGGAAUAUUGCGCAAUGGAGGCAACUCUGACGCAGCCAUGCCGCGUGCAGGAAGAAGGCGCUACGCGUUGUAAACUGCUUUUAACCGGGAAGAAACCCCAGGACGUGUCCUGGGUUGACGGUACCGGAGGAAUAAGCACCGGCUAACUUCGUGCCAGCAGCCGCGGUAAUACGAAGGGUGCAAGCGUUAUCCGGAUGCAUUGGGUUUAAAGGGUGCGUAGGCGGAGCGUUAAGUCAGGGGUGAAUUCCUGCAGCUUAACUGUAGACUUGCCAUUGAUACUGGCGCUCUUGAGUGCACUUGAAGUGGGCGGAAUGUGCCGUGUAGCGGUGAAAUGCUUAGAUAUGGCACAGAACACCAAUUGCGAAGGCAGCUCACUAAGGCGAUACUGACGCUGAGGCACGAAAGCCAGGGGAGCGAAAGGGAUUAGAAACCCGGGUAGUCC
rnacentral:rRNA from 1 species